rnacentral:rRNA from 1 species
GUGCCUAACACAUGCAAGUCGAACGGUAACAGGUCUUCGGAUGCUGACGAGUGGCGCACGGGUGAGUAACGCGUGGAUAUCUGCCUAUUAGUGGGGGACAACUUGUGGAAACGCAAGCUAAUACCGCAUAAUCCCUACGGGGGAAAGCAGGGGACCUUCGGGCCUUGUGCUGAUAGAUGAGUCCGCGUCUGAUUAGCUAGUUGGUAAGGUAAAGGCUUACCAAGGCGAUGAUCAGUAUCUGGUUUGAGAGGAUGAUCAGACACACUGGAACUGAGACACGGUCCAGACUUCUACGGAAGGCAGCAGUGGGGAAUAUUGCACAAUGGGCGCAAGCCUGAUGCAGCGACGCCGCGUGUGGGAAGAAGGCCUUCGGGUUGUAAACCACUUUCAAUUGGGAAGAAGGGAUGAGAGUUAAUAACUUUCUGACUUGACGGUACCUUUAGAAGAAGCACCGGCUAAUUUCGUGCCAGCAGCCGCGGUAAUACGAAAGGUGCAAGCGUUGUUCGGAUUUACUGGGCGUAAAGAGAGUGUAGGUUGUUUAUUAAGUCGGAUGUGAAAUCCCGGGGCUCAACCUCGGAACUGCAUUCGAUACUGAUAGGCUAGAGUUUGGGAGGGGUAAGCGGAAUUCCGUGUGUAGCAGUGAAAUGCGUAGAUAUACGGAGGAACACCUGAGGCGAAGGCGGCUUACUGGACCAAUACUGACACUGAGACUCGAAAGCGUGGGUAGCAAACAGGAUUAGAUACCCUGGUAGUCCACGCCCUAAACGAUGUCAACUAGCCGUUGCGGGUAUCGACCCCUGCAGUGGCGAAGCUAACGCGAUAAGUUGACCGCCU